GACGAACGCUGGCGGCGUGCUUAACACAUGCAAGUCGAACGGAAAGGCCCUGCUUGCAGUGUGCGCGUGUGGCGAACGGGUGAGUAACACGUGUGUGCUCUGCCCCUUACUUUGGGAUAGGCCUGGGAAACUGGGUCUAAUACGGGAUAUGACCAUGCUGUAGGUGGGGUGGUGGAAAGAUUCGUUGCGGUAAGGGGUGAGCUCGCGGCCUAUCAGCUUGUUGGUGGGGUAGUGGCGUCCAAAGGCGUCGACGGGUGGCCGCCGCGAGAGGGGGGACGGGGCCAUUGGGACUGUGAGACGGCGCCGAGUCCUCCGGGGGGGGGCAGUGGGGAGUAUUGCGCAAUGGGGGCAAGCGUGAUGUGGAGACGCGGCGUGGGGGGGGACGGGGCUCGGGUGGUGAACUCCUUUCAGCGAAGACGAAGAGCUUGUGGUGACGGUAGUGGUAGAAGAAGCACCGGCUAACUACGUG
rnacentral:rRNA from 1 species